rnacentral:rRNA from 1 species
UGGGUGAGUAACGCGUGGGUAACCUGCCCUUAAGUCUGGGAUACCAUUUGGAAACAGAUGCUAAUACCGGAUAAAAGCUACUUUCGCAUGAAAGAAGUUUAAAAGGCGGCGUAAGCUGUCGCUAAAGGAUGGACCUGCGAUGCAUUAGCUAGUUGGUAAGGUAACGGCUUACCAAGGCGAUGACGCAUAGCCGAGUUGAGAGACUGAUCGGCCACAUUGGGACUGAGACACGGCCCAAACUCCUACGGGAGGCAGCAGAC